rnacentral:misc_RNA from 1 species
GUUUUAGCCUUUAGUUAUUGGGUCUCGAAUUAUACUGUAACAGCAUCGUCUAGGAGCUAGACAAUUGCGUCGUCAAAACGCACCGUUUCUUAGCACUUCUCUGGACUCAAUCCACCCUCGCAGAGAGAGAUUGAGGCUGUGCUCUGAUGGCGGAGAAACCCCAACCAUUACGCGUACUCUACUGUCCCGUUUGUAGUUUACCUGCAGAGUACUGUGAAUUCGGUCCCGAUUUCGAAAAAUGCAAGCCCUGGUUGAUCCAAAACGCCCCUGACCUCUAUCCCGAUCUCAUCAAAGAGGCAAAUGCCAAGGAAGCUAACAAGGUCGCCGAGCAGUUACAAUCCGCCGGCAUCUCAUCGAGCGGCGGCGACGGUGCUUCUCCUUCAGGGGGUACUUCUGCAUCUAAGGAAGAAGAAGUAAAACGUCUUCCUGGUGGGAAGAUAAAGAAGAAAGAGAGGCAAGAAGUUGUUAUUGAGAAGGUUACACGUAACAAGCGGAAAUGUAUCACCACUGUUAAAGGGCUGGACCUGUUUGGUGUUAAACUUAGCGAUGCAUCAAAGAAACUUGGUAAAAAGUUUGCUACUGGAGCCUCUGUUGUUAAGGGUCCAACUGAGAAGGAGCAGAUUGAUGUUCAAGGAGACAUAUCCUAUGACAUUGUGGACUUCAUUACAGAGACCUGGCCUGAUGUUCCAGAAACUGCAAUUUAUUUUAUUGAAGAUGGUAAGAAGGUCCCAGCUGCUUGAUUCUGAGUCAUAAGUACAAGUGGUAUGGAGUGUGGAGUCUUCCUCUUUGCUUGGCACUCUCCAAACUCAAUUCAGUCUCGAGGUAAAUGGACUGCUGAAUAGAAUCUAAUCUCCAGUGAAACAUUUGUCACUCAUUAAAUCCCCUAUUUUCUUUGUUUCUGGAACUGGAAAUGUGUCUCGGAAUUUAAUAUCUACAACUUGUAUAGGCGCAGUAUGUGUGCUGUUUGCUUUUGUUUCUCUAUGUUAAAAGCUGGUGAGUUGAAUUUUUCACAAGUAACAAGCUUUUCACGGUAUGGUACAUCAUGGUUUAUCCUAGUGGUAUAGCUGCUGCUACAAGGAUUUUAAGGCUUUUAUGUGUGUCCUCUGGGCAGUGGGUUAUAUGAUGCACAUAUUUUUCAAUUUGCCAUUAAGGUUAGAUCUAAAUUGCAAUUGAUAUGGAGGCUCAAUUUAGCACCUAGGUCUUGUUCUGUGUUGCAUUUCAUUUUCCGGUUUUUCUUCAUAAAUUUAGUUGAAAUCAAAGGUUAGCGUUUCCAUUUUGCUGGUGUACUGUAAAUUAGGAUUGAGCACGGCCAUU